rfam:Xenopus tropicalis strain Nigerian scaffold_3048_contig_5, whole genome shotgun sequence.
GGCUCUGUGGCGCAAUGGAUAGCGCAUUGGACUUCUAGGUGAAAGAAGAAAUUCAAAGGUUGUGGGUUAGAAUCCCAUCAGAGUCG